CUACGGAGGAUGCGAGCGUUAUCCGGAUUUAUUGGGUUUAAAGGGAGCGUAGGCGGGGGCUUAAGUCAGCGGUUAAAUGGUGCGGCUCAACCGUGCCCUGCCGUUGAAACUGGGUUUCUUGAGAGUGCAAGAGGCGGAUGGAAUUCAUGGUGUAGCGGUGAAAUGCUUAGAUAUCAUGAAGAACUCCGAUUGCGAAGGCAGUCCGCUGGGGCACGUCUGACGCUGAUGCUCGAAGGUGCGGGAAUCAAACAGGAUUAGAUACCCUGGUAGUCCGCACGGUAAACGAUGAUUACCCGCUGUCGGCGGUAGACAGUCGGCGGCCAAGCGAAAGCGAUAAGUAAUCCACCUGGGGAGUACGCCGGCAACGGUGAAACUCAAAUGAAUUGACGGGG
rnacentral:rRNA from 1 species